rnacentral:rRNA from 1 species
UACAGAGGGUGCGAGCGUUGUUCGGAAUUAUUGGGCGUAAAGGGCGCGUAGGCGGUAUUGUAAGUCACCUGUGAAACCUCUGGGCUUAACUCAGAGCCUGCAGGCGAAACUGCAAUGCUGGAGGGUGGGAGAGGUGCGUGGAAUUCCCGGUGUAGCGGUGAAAUGCGUAGAUAUUGGGAGGAACACCAGUGGCGAAGGCGGCUACCUGGACCGGUUCUGACGCUGAUGCGCGAAAGCGUGGGUAGCAAACAGG